rnacentral:rRNA from 1 species
AGAGUUGAUCAUGGCUCAGAACGAACGCUGGCGGCAGGCCUAACACAUGCAAGUCGAGCGCGCCCUUCGGGGUGAGCGGCGGACGGGUUAGUAACGCGUGGGAACGUACCCUUUGGUAGGGAAUAGCCACUGGAAACGGUGAGUAAUACCCUAUGAGCCCUUCGGGGGAAAGGUUUAUCGCCAAAGGAUCGGCCCGCGUUAGAUUAGGUAGUUGGUGGGGUAAUGGCCUACCAAGCCUACGAUCUAUAGCUGGUUUUAGAGGAUGAUCAGCAACACUGGGACUGAGACACGGCCCAGACUCCUACGGGAGGCAGCAGUGGGGAAUCUUGGACAAUGGGGGCAACCCUGAAUCCAGCCAUGCCGCGUGAGUGAAGAAGGCCUUAGGGUCGUAAAGCUCUUUCGCCUGUGAAGAUAAUGACGGUAGCAGGUAAAGAAACCCCGGCUAACUCCGUGCCAGCCGCGGC